AAAAGUACUUUGUACUCUUCUUCCUCUUGCUCACCUCUUCUCUCACGGUUCUUCCUUUAUGAUUGAACCUAAAGCUACUUCGCCUUCUCUUUUGGGUUUGCUUCCAUCUGGCUCCUAUCAUCCUCCAAUGGUCGCUCUAUCUAUCAUCUUCACUCUAGACCCGUGCAUAACAAUGAUGAUUUAAUGGACGGGUCAUGGUUGAACCCCAAAUUUGGUAAUUUUGGCUUUGAUAAUGGAAUAGACCGUACUUCCAUUAUUCCUGCUCAGUGACUUGGAUUCGGGGACAGCUUUGAGUCAGAUUAAAGUGGUGAGCUUCCAUACUUUAGAAGACUCCAUUUCAUGCCAUGGGUUCUUUUCAUUAUUGUUAUUACUUUUGUUUUGUUUUUGGAUAUGGUCGGGGGCAUGUCCCGAUUGGAUAUUCUUUGAUUCUAGUUAGAGGCUUUGUCGGAUUACUAUGGGCAUGAGCGGUGUCGGUAGUAGUGUUAGUCUUGGUAUUGGUAGGCAUUGUGAUUGGUAUUGGUUGGAUAUUUGGUUGUGUUUGUUUUGUUAUGGUUAUUUGGUUGGAUA